rnacentral:rRNA from 1 species
CCUACGGGAGGCAGCAGUGAGGAAUAUUGGACAAUGGGUGAGAGCCUGAUCCAGUCAUCCCGCGUGAAGGAUGACGGUCCUAUGGAUUGUAAACUUCUUUUGUACAGGGAUAAACCUACUCUCGUGAGGGUAGCUGAAGGUACUGUACGAAUAAGCACCGGCUAACUCCGUGCCAGCAGCCGCGGUA